CUAUGCGCCUUGCCAGCCCGCUCAGGGUGCCAGCCGCCGCGGUAAUACGUAGGUGGCAAGCGUUAUCCGGAUUUAUUGGGUGUAAAGGGCGUGUAGGCGGGAAAGCAAGUCAGAUGUGAAAACUCAGGGCUCAACCCUGAGCCUGCAUUUGAAACUGUUUUUCUUGAGUGCUGGAGAGGCAAUCGGAAUUCCGUGUGUAGCGGUGAAAUGCGUAGAUAUACGGAGGAACACCAGUGGCGAAGGCGGAUUGCUGGACAGUAACUGACGCUGAGGCGCGAAAGCGUGGGGAGCAAACAGG
rnacentral:rRNA from 1 species